rnacentral:rRNA from 1 species
GAUGAACGCUAGCUACAGGCUUAACACAUGCAAGUCGAGGGGUAACAAGAGAAAAGCUUGCUUUUCUUGUUGACGACCGGCGCACGGGUGGGUAACGCGUAUCCAACCUGCCCAUAACUAGGGAAUAACCUUGCGAAAGUAAGACUAAUACCCUAUAAUUUCCUUUGACGGCAUCUGACGAGGAAUAAAGAUUUAUCGGUUAUGGAUGGUGAUGCGUCUGAUUAGCUUGUUGGCGGGGUAACGGCCCACCAAGGCAACGAUCAGUAGGGGUUCUGAGAGGAAGGUCCCCCACAUUGGAACUGAGACACGGUCCAAACUCCUACGGGAGGCAGCAGUGAGGAAUAUUGGUCAAUGGGCGGAAGCCUGAACCGGCCAAGUAGCGUGCAGGAUGACGGCCCUAUGGGUUGUAAACUGCUUUUAUACAGGAAUAAAGUUAGCCACGUGUGGUUAUUUGUAGGUACUGUAUGAAUAAGGACCGGCUAAUUCCGUGCCAGCCGCCGCUGUAA